rnacentral:rRNA from 1 species
UGAGGAAUAUUGGUCAAUGGGCGGGAGCCUGAACCAGCCAAGCCGCGUGAGGGAUGAAGGCCCUAUGGGUCGUAAACCUCUUUUGUCAGGGAACAAAAGCGAGUAUGUAUACUGCUCUGAGUGUACCUGAAGAAAAAGCAUCGGCUAACUCCGUGCCAGCAGCCGCGGUAAUACGGAGGAUGCGAGCGUUAUCCGGAUUUAUUGGGUUUAAAGGGUGCGUAGGCGGCGGUGCAAGUCAGCGGUAAAAGCCCGGGGCUCAACCCCGGCGAGCCGUUGAAACUGCAGUGCUAGAGAAGGCGAGAGGUACGCGGAAUGCGCAGUGUAGCGGUGAAAUGCUUAGAUAUUGCGCAGAACUCCGAUUGCGAAGGCAGCGUACUGGCGCCUGACUGACGCUGAGGCACGAAAGCGUGGGGAUCGAACAGGAUUAGAUACC